CCUACGGGUGGCAGCAGUGAGGAAUAUUGGUCAAUGGGCUUACGCCUGAACCAGCCAAGUCGCGUGAGGGAAGACUGCCCUAUGGAUUGUAAACCUCUUUAGGCGGGGAGCAAUGCCGGGCACGCGUGCCCGGAGGGAGAGUACCCGCAGCAUAAGCAUCGGCUAACUCCGUGCCAGCCGCCGCGGUAAGACGGAGGAUGCGAGCGUUAUCCGGAUUUAUUGGGUUUAAAGGGUGCGUCGGCGGAUUUUUAAGUCAGCGGUAAAAUGUCCGGGCUCAACCCGGGCCGGCCGUUGAAACUGGGGAUCUUGAGUGGGCGAGAAGUAUGCGGAAGGCGUGGUGUAGCGGUGAAAUGCAUAGAUAGCACGCAGAACUCCGAUUGCGAAGGCAGCAUACCGGCGCCCGACUGACGCUGAGGCACGAAAGCGUGGGGAUCGAACAGGAUUAGAUACCCCUGUAGUC
rnacentral:rRNA from 1 species